CACCGCGGUUAUACGAGAGGCCCAAGUUGAUUACUUACGGCGUAAAGAGUGGUUAGGGAGGAAUCAGUACUAAAGCCGAAUGUUUUCAAGGCUGUUGUACGCACCCGAAAACGAGAAGUUCAACCACGAAAGUGGCUUUAUUAAACCCUGAACCCACGAAAGCUAGGGAA
rnacentral:rRNA from 1 species